rnacentral:rRNA from 1 species
AUUGAACGCUGGCGGCAGGCUUAACACAUGCAAGUCGAGCGGGGUGAUGGUGCUUGCACUAUCACUUAGCGGCGGAAGGGUGAGUAAUGCUUAGGAAUAUGCCUAUUAGCGGGGGACUACAUCUCGAAAGGGAUGCUAAUACCGCAUACGUCCUACGGGAGAAAGCAGGGGAUCACUUGUGAACUAGCGCUAAUUGAUGAGCCUAGGUCGGAUUAGCUAGUUGGGGGGGUAAAGGCCUACCAAGGCGACGAUCUGUAGCGGGUCUGAGAGGAUGCUCCGCCACACUGGGACUGAGACACGGCCCAGACUCCUACGGGAGGCAGCAGUGGGGAAUAUUGGACAAUGGGGGGAACCCUGAUCCAGCCAUGCCGCGUGUGUGAAGAAGGCCUUAUGGUUGUAAAGCACUUUAAGCGAGGAGGAGGCUCUUUUGGUUAAUACCCAAGAUGAGUGGACGUUACUCGCAGAAUAAGCACCGGCUAACUCUGUGCCAGCAGCCGCAGUAA